AAUAGGCGUAUUGUCAGCGCGAAAAUCAAACAAUGACGGGCAGAAGGAAGAAGGAGCAGAAGGUGCAAAAGAAAGCUCUUUCGGUAAGUAGAGGCGCGUUUCACUCGUCGUGCUGUAGGUGUUGCGAGUAAAGUUAUUCCGUCAUCCGAGGCGGCGGCUGCAAUGGUACAGGCCCUAGGGACAUGCUGACAAGACGAGACGAACAUAGAGGACAGGUUGACGACGCUCACGGCACAACGUCUUUUGUUGUUAAAACUAUUGUGCACUCCGCCACUCAACAGAGAUGUUACCACUACGCGACGGAAUGGCACCGAAAAGAAAAGCCAUGUUCGUGGUUUUUUAUGCACGGGCAUAAAUCAAUAUGGACCAGUCCGGAGAGCAAUUACUUUGGCUACAGAGAGAAGAUCACUACCAGAAAAGCAUCACCAAACCAUCACAUUUCCUGCGCCUUGUUUAAGUGUACCAUCCGAGUAUUUUGGAUCGUGUUACUUGGAUGCCUCACCCAUCGUAUAUCUCAUCUAAAUUAAAGCAAGUUAAACUUGCUUUCGUCAAGAAAGAGUACUAUAUUCCACUUGGUAAUAAUCCAGCUUAGAUUCUGAAUGGCCAACGCAAGACAGGCUUUUCUGUUUUUCUUCGAAACACAAGUGGUCCUCUCUCAGGCGUACAUGUACAGAAAUGUCCACAUCCUUCAGUUCGUACAGAGUGUUUCUUUUAAAGACGUACGUGUUCUUCUUUUGCUCGGUACUGUAUAUAUGUGGUACUUCCGGGUGUACUUAAAUGCCAGAAGAGCUCGAGAUCACGUUAGUACUUAAUAUAAGCCAUAACCACACUUUCCGUAUUUCCUUUAAGUCCCACAUUAAUCACACAAAUUGGGGACUCAAGCGGGAUUGUUAAAAUAGGAAAGUUUUAAAGUGAGUACUGACGUGAUAAAACGACCUAGAGACUAACUCUAUGAUGAACACGACGACCAGGUGCGAAAAAUACGCUGGAGGAUACGACGAAGACGGAUUGAAGGAUGCUGUUAGGCGAUGGCAAUAUGGUAGAGCAUGGUAAAAAUGAAAGGAGAGCUUGCGAAUGAAAUUCCACUUUAAGGAAAAUGGUCGAAUUGUAAUGCUUCCCAAUGCUUCCGGUUGGAUUCAAAUCUGUGUGUGAGGGAAAAACAGAUUAUGUGACAGUAACGGAGUAAGACGUAUUGUUUUGUGGUUUUUGUUGCUUUUGUUCGGGAAUCAGAUUCUCAACUUUGGGCAAAAACAUUUUAAUUGUAUAAUAAAUGAUAAUUCAAAAAGAACUUUCUGUCUAAUUUGUAAUUAAAAUGUUUUAAGAAUAGAAAUAUUAAAUAAUUGUCAAUGAUUCAUCAAAUUUGCAAAUAAAUUCUAUUUUUUAAUUGCCCCCUCAACAUUACCCAAAGACAUUUUUAUUGAAGCACCAAUUUUUCUAAUAUACAUACAACGAUAAAACUCAGGCAGACAAACAGUCGAGUCCAGGUUUGGUUUGAUAAGUGACAGCCGCCAACUCCUCAGGAAUUAAAUUCUUUCAAUGCCACGAUGGAUUAAUUCACUAUUUUAGAACAGAGAAAUGUAUUCCUCCAUGUAUUAAAAUAUUUAUGUGUUUUAAAGUACAUUAUUUUGCAAAUUUACAAAUUUCAAUACUUUUUUAUUCUAGUUUCUUAUUAUAUUUCUUUCUACCAGUGUUAAACUUAA